rnacentral:tRNA from 1 species
UGGCUCAGUGGUUAAGAGCACUGGCUGUUAUUCCAGAGGUCCUGAGUUCAAUUCCCAG